GGGGGGGGCGCUGGGCGAUGUGCGCGCGGAGCUGGCGGCGCGCGGGCAGAGCGCGUGAUGCGGGGGGGGGAGGCGGCUCGUGCCUUCGUCCUUAAAGCGACAGAGGCCGCGCGCGAGAGGGGUGGGCGGCAACAUGGCGGCGGGCGCCCGGCAGCUCUCAACGCCUUGUAGGCCGCGCUCUCGAAGCGCGCCGGGGAGGGCCCCUCCGCGGGGCGGGCCCGGGCGGGGGUGACCUCCAGCUGUUCCUGCGGCGCCCGGGCGUCCUUUAACCACCCCGGCGGCGCCGCGGCUCCUGCGGCGUGAGCGGUCUGCUCGAGGCCGGGCUGCGGCUGUCCGGGCGGCGGCGGCGGGGGAGGGCCGGGGCUGCGUGCCCGGGCGCUGCCGGCUCGGCGCGCGUUGCAGGUUGGAGGCGGAGGCGGGCUGAGCGUGCGUGUGGGGCGCCGAGGGCCGAUGGCUGCCGCAUCCCUGACCCGCACGCAGUGCGCUUCUGCCUUGCCUUCCGUUUGUCGUUAGGAUAAUCCGUGCUGAGGGCUGGGAAAUGCAGUUUCUGAGGCGUCCUGUGGCUGGCUUUUAAAACGCGGUGCUGCUUUCCAGUUUCUUCAGCAGCAACGACAGACUUGGCAACGCCCAUCUUCUGCUCAGUCGCCUGCCCGCAGCGCAAGGUUUACUGUCCUAGCAGACACACCAGGUUAACAGCCUCCAUGAAUUCUUAUUUUGGGACAACUUUAUUCAUUUGGGACAACUUUAUUCAUGGUAGUGACUACACUUAAUUCUCAGUCUUCCAAAGAAGAGCAUAAUGAACUCUGAAAGGAGGAUUUACCUGAAGAAAAUACUUAUGCCUGUCAACUAACUCACAGCUGCUUCAUGAAGCAGACAUCUUCCUUGCUGACAAUGCUGACUUCCGAGGACAGCUGAAACAGACAGGAAGAGAAAAUUGCAACUGGAAGACCAGUUCAAGUAUGGGGAGAAAAGUUAAAGUAUGGGAAGGUUUUGAGGGCUUUAUUGCUGGAGGAGUCAAGUGACAAGCUUGCUUGAAGAAGGCAACUUUGAAAACGCAUGAACUAGAUAGCAAAGCACUAUAGAAAGCAGGGGAGAAUAAGUAGCUGUGUGGAAGAACAAUGAUCACCCAAGACACAAGGUGAGCCUGAAGAGGAGAGGAUUUCAAAGGCUCUGAUCCUUAUGAUGUAUAUGAAAAGAAUCCAGUUGACUUUAGGAGACUUUUGUUUGUGUUCAAAGAGAAUUCAAAGACAGGAAUGCUGUUAUGCUGUAGCAGAAGAGAAAGAUGACUUUCACAGCACUGAUGUUUUGGAUAAGGAUUCUUUCAAAUCGUCUUAGCUUAAAACAAUGAAAUUGACAAUCAGACAAAACACAGAAAUGGGAAGCAUGAGCUAAAUAAUUUUACAGGUAGAGUAACACCUUAAUGGGGCAGUAAAUAAGCAGAGACCCUUAUCUGACAUGACUAACCAUAAAUUUAAAAAAAAAAUACUGAGGGAGGAAGCAGUGUAUGUAUGCAGGAAGCAUACAGAAAGACUGGAAAAUAACCUUUGGAGAAUGUGAGUCUGAAAUGCUCCUAAGAUCUAUGCAAGGAGAGUUGUCCCAGAAACAAAUUUAAGCAUUUGAGAAGGGAAAAGGGCAUUUUUUUAAAAAUUCUUCUACAUAGAGGUAGUAGCUAAAUCAUGGAAUUGGAUGAAGUUCUACUAAAAACAUAGCAGGAGGAGAAAAACCAGUGUGUGGGGGCAAAAGCCAGGAUGUUAUCAUGGAGAUGUCUUAAACUACAAUCCAGGACAGCAAAAGAUUAACAGCAUCUUCUCCGUAGUUAUAUACUAACUAGCUUUAAGCAAGUGCUAAUUUGGAUCACCAAAAAAGAAUUUCUGUAAGCAAAUUACUGUCACUAUUUGAAAUUAAGUAGCAACUUCAGAAGCAGCCUAGGCACAUUCCAUCCCUUCAUGGAUAUCCUGAGUGCACAUGUGUCUUGGGGGAGCAUGCUGGGAAGAAAACGAUGAGCUGAUAAUGUUGAAAGGGGUUAGAAUCAAGAACGGUGUAAAAUGCAACUGAUCCUCUUCUGUUCACAGACCAAAGGAUAGAGAAGUUGCCCUCAUCGCUGUGGUUGGCCAUUUGAAGUACAGUUUAAACAUGCAUUUAUACAAUUAAUUAGAAAUUAGCAGAAUAAUCAAAUACUGAAUGCAAGAUGAAUUAGAUCAGUAAUAGUAAGCUAAAGGAAAAGCUCUGUAAACCACAUUUCAGAAAGAUGGUUGUGGAAUAAAGAUAAGCUCUAUAUUCUCCCCAAUAUACAAAGGUCACAUACAACUUGUAUU